GGUUGUGGCUCAGUGGUAGAGUACUUGCCUGGCAUGUGUGAAGAAGUACUGUGUUCAAUCCUCAGCACCA
rnacentral:tRNA from 1 species